CAAGGAGAGACAGCAAAUUCAGGCUUCUUCUACCUAUUCUUCUGUCUGGACCCUCUAGAGAUUGGAUGACGUCUCCACAUUGGUGAAGUAAUGAAACUCAAGUCAGGAAGUUUUCAAGCUGCUGAUACUCCUACAAAGGCUAUGGAUUAUUUUAGGCAAGUGUUAUUUUGAAAAUACCUGCCCCAUUCAAAACACUGCUGCAGGGCACCAAAGCAAUAGAAAUUUUCAAGCCCUGCUGCCCAUAUCUUCCUCCUUCUGAUGCCCAGCAUGACACCCUACAGCAAAUACGUGAGCUACUUGCUAAAGAAGAAGUGUUCUUUAAAAAAAUCAUAAUUUGCUAAAUCCUGUAGUGUCUCAGAACAUUCCCUAUAUAUGUCCUUCAAAUCUUCACUUUAUAGAUUCUCAGCUGAGAAGACAACUCCAGAGAUAUGAAGAAAGCCAUACUUUACAGUAUUGAGCUGACCCUUCUUCUGAAAAAGAUAACUGCCAAGUCAAGGUUAUUAUUUGUAUGCAUUAAUUUUUAAUUGAGUUUGAGAGCCGAAACUAUUUUGAUAUCCUGAUUUUCCCAAAGAAAUUGCUUGCCUAAGUUGAUUAAUGAGGUAAUGACUCAGGAGCCCAAGCAACGAAGCAAGGCGAAGGAAUACAGCAGAUAUAUCAAACACUAAAGACUUAUUUUCCCUAAAUUCAGAAAAAAAAUUGAGUUUUUUAAAAAGUUUUUAAAAUACAGGCUUAGACAAAUAAACUUGUGAAUUAAAACCAUAUUCUCUUAUCAUUUUGUAUAUCAUUAAAAUAUCACCAUCAACAUUUUUCUUCUACUUUUUAUUUCUUGGACGUUUUUUCCUCUCUUUUAACAUUAUGUUUACUUUCCUCAGGUUGCAGACCUUUAAGAUUUAAGCCUAGAUCUGGCUUUGUUUCUUUUCCUUAUUCUCAAUCUGAACACCCCUUUUAUCCUCUGGUCAAAUGUCCUAUACAAAGCACAAGCUCCCCUACUCAUUUUACUAUUGUUCUACUAUUCUACAUCAUUACUCCAAUGAUGAUUUCAUAGACCAGUUAACAAAAGACACCUUCCAUAAAAAUAAUUUCCUCUCAAAUCUACACGAUGAUUAUUUUGUCCAAAAUAUUCACUAUGCAUCAAUUAUAUAGUGAAAAUAUAAUUUUUCAUCUACCAGUUUAUAAAUUUUAAGACACUACUUCUUACAGAGUACUAGCAAUAAAACAAAAUGGGGCCUAACAAUGAGAC
rnacentral:lncRNA from 10 species